AUUGAACGCUGGCGGCAGGCCUAACACAUGCAAGUCGAGCGGAUGAAGGGAGCUUGCUCCCUGAUUUAGCGGCGGACGGGUGAGUAAUGCCUAGGAAUCUGCCUGGUAGUGGGGGACAACGUUUCGAAAGGAACGCUAAUACCGCAUACGUCCUACGGGAGAAAGUGGGGGAUCUUCGGACCUCACGCUAUCAGAUGAGCCUAGGUCGGAUUAGCUAGUUGGUGCGGUAAAGGCUCACCAAGGCUACGAUCCGUAACUCGGUCUGCGAGAAUGUCAGUCACACUGAAACUGCGACACGGUCCAGACUCCUACGGUGGGCAGCAGUGGGGUAUAUUGGACAAUGGGCGAAAGACUGAUCCAGCCAUGCCGCGUGUGUGAAGAAGGUCUUCGGAUUGUAAAGCACUUUAAGUUGGGAGGAAGGGCAGUAAGUUAAUACCUUGCUGUUUUGACGUUACCAACAGAAUAAGCACCGGCUAACUUCGUGCCAGCCGCCGCAGUAA
rnacentral:rRNA from 1 species